rnacentral:rRNA from 1 species
UACGAAGGGGGCUAGCGUUGCUCGGAAUCACUGGGCGUAAAGCGCACGUAGGCGGCUUUCUAAGUCAGGGGUGAAAUCCUGGAGCUCAACUCCAGAACUGCCUUUGAUACUGGAGAGCUUGAGUCCGGAAGAGGUGAGUGGAACUCCGAGUGUAGAGGUGAAAUUCGUAGAUAUUCGGAAGAACACCAGUGGCGAAGGCGGCUCACUGGUCCGGUACUGACGCUGAGUGUGCGAAAGCGUGGGGAGCAAACAGG